UUGGCAGAUGGAAUUUUGAGCGAAAGAUUUAUAUACAAUUUGGUCUGAAAAUUGUAUAGAAAUCUUUCGCUCGACAUUCCAUCUACCAA